rnacentral:lncRNA from 1 species
UGGGGGGUUAAAUUUUUCUCAUUUCAGAUUUCAUAAAUAAAAAGAAAAUUUCUUCAAACAUUUUUUUGAGAGGAUUAAUAUUCAACAGCAUACUGAAUUGCUCAAAGGAAAAAAAAGUUUUUUAAGUUCAUUAGACCACAUUCAUUCUGUGUCAGAAACCUAUGCUGUGUCAACUAUUUAAUCACAAUCCAAAUUUGGAGCUGAAUCCAGCUUGAAUGUUGUGUCCAUACUUGCCCCAACCGUUCAGGGUUCAACCUCUGUGGUCGUAUAAAGCUGCGCCCUGCGGAGCAUCUGGUUUACUUUGA